AGCGAACGCUGGCGGCAGGCUUUACACAUGCAAGUCGAACGGAAACUUCGGGCUUGGUGGCGGACGGGUGCGUAAGACGGGGUAACGCGCCCUUUGGUUCGGAACCACUCAGGGAAACUUGAGGUAAUAGCGGAUGAGACCUUAGGGGGAAAGAUUUAUCGCCAUUGGAGCGGUCAGCGCCUGAUUAGCUAGUUGGGGAGGUAACGGCUCACCAAGGUGGCGAUCUGUAGCUGGGCAGAGAGGACGAUCAGCCACACCGGGACUGAGACACGGCCCAGACUCCUACGGGAAGCAGGAGAGGGGGAUCUAGCGCAAUGGGCGAAAGCCUGACGCAGCCAUGCCGGUUGAAUGAUGAAGGUCGUAGGAUUGUAAAAUUCUUUCAGCGGGGACGAUAAUGACGGUACCCGCAGAAGAAGCUCCGGCUAACUUCGUG
rnacentral:rRNA from 1 species